rnacentral:rRNA from 1 species
CCUACGGGAGGCUGCAGUAGGGAAUCUUCCACAAUGGACGAAAGCCUGACGGAGCAACGCCGCGUGGGUGAAGAAGGUCUUCGGAUCGUAAAACUCUGUUGUUAGAGAAGAAAAAGUGCUAGAGUAACUGUUAACGCCUUGACGGUAUCUAACCAGACAGCCACGGCUAACUACGUGCCAGCAGCCGCGGUAAUACGUAGGUGGCAAGCGUUUUCCGGAUUUAUUGGGCGUAAAGGGAGCGCAGGCGGUCUUUUAAGUCUGAUGUGAAAGCCUUCGGCUUAACCGGGGUAGGGCAUUGGAAACUGGGGAACUUGAGUGCAGAAGAGGAGAGUGGAAUUCCAUGUGUAGCGGUGAAAUGCGUAGAUAUAUGGAAGAACACCAGUGGCGAAGGCGACUCUCUGGUCUGUAACUGACGCUGAGGCUCGAAAGCGUGGGUAGCAAACAGGAUUAGAUACCCUUGUAGUC